GCCACGCAGAGCAGCAGGGAGCGCCCACGCCGCCUUUUCUGCUGGAAAAUCAGCGCCUCCACCUGCGGGAUCGAACGCAAAGUUAAAAUCUCCCCCCCUCGUACAAUCUUCAACUUCUGGAAGCGCAAAAAGUGGGGACUGCUGACAAGCAGCAUGGGCAGGAGGUGCCCGCAGCCAGCAGCACUCAUGCACCCCCACGCAGACAGUGGGUGAAGCACCUGCUGGGCACCGCCACCCUCAGAGCAGAAAGACAUGUCUUUAUUGAACGCAACGUGAGCUAGACAGCAAGGAAACUUUGACAAAAAACCCACCGAGUAGAAAAGAAACCGCUGCGGCCUACACUAACAGCCUUAUGAUAUGCCAACGUCCAACGCUUCCAUGCUGCAGCCGCUGCCAGCUGCCCCGCGCUCCCACAGCGGCGCUCCGAGGGCGGGCAGUGCUGCAGCCCUGUGCCCCACGUGCUGUCCCAGCCCCCCGCUGUGUGUCGGCGUGGUGCGGGGCGGGCAGCCCACAGAGCGCUGGAGCCGGCUGCUGCUCAUCGAGGACUUCCAUAUCGUGAUGCUUUGUUUGGUAAUUUUGCAAAAAAGUCUAAAUAUGUUUUUAAAAAACCCUAAAGAGACUCUGGACUAAACAAGAUGAAGGUUAAAACUAAAAAGUUAGGAGGGACGCCGUUUACAUUAACACUUUCUUUAAAAAAUAGAAUUGCUUUCUCGUUGUUCUUGAAGUCAGCUGGCCACAGUGGUGAGACGCGCUCCUUCCAGCGGCACGGAGCGGUGCCACGUCCUGAUCCCGCCGGCCGUCGCUGCUGGAACCGCGGCACCGGAGGGAUGGAGCCGCGCCGCAUCCCCAUGGCAUAGAAAGGAGUUGUGUCACCACUGUGCAAGGACGGGCGCUGACCAGGUCCCACGGUCACGCCGCUCUGGGGUUGGGAAGCCUUCUGUGUCCCGACAGGACAGUCCAUAGGGAGCUGCGAGCAGGAUCAGUCCGGGAUCGCGCUCCACAUCAGUCAAUGUACUGCGACAGCCAGCGGAAGCCCUCACCGUAGCCUUGCCUCUUCAGCACGCUGCACAUGAACACCUCCAUGGGGCGCGCGUUCAGGUCCUUCAGUGGCACAUUUCCCUUCCCCGUGGUCUGUCCGUAAAGCCCGAAGAUCUCCCGCAGUUUCUCCUCACUGAUGGCCUCGGGUCUGUCGAUUUUGUUGCCCAAGAUAAGGAUUGGCACAUUGGAUAUUGUUUCAUCUGUCAUUAGCGCGUUAAGCUCAACUUUGGAUUCCAUGAGCCGGGAGUGAUCUGCACAGUCCACCAGGAAGACGAUCCCAUUGAUGGCGGGCAGGUAGUUCUUCCACACCCGGCGGGCUUGCUCGUGGCCACCCAGAUCAAAAGUGGUGAAGGUCAUUCCAGCAAUUGUCAGCUCCUCUGAGGUGGGAUGCAGUGUGGGGACGUGCUGGCCCAGCCGGUCGUCCUUAAGCAUGUGCAGCAGUGUGGUUUUGCCCGCAUUAUCCAGGCCCAGGAAGACGAGUUUUCCAGACUUCUUGUAGAGCCCCAGGAACUGCAGCACGCUGCUGAAGCCGUUGUAGAUCCACUCGAAGAUGAAAGACAUCGCUGACGAUCGAGCGCCUCCGGCCGCGGCGACCCCGCUCCCGUUCCGCCGCCAGCUCCCCGCCGGAAGUGCGUCGCUCCUGCGCCACGCCCGCUUCCGGUCCGCCGCGCUGGCUCCCACGUCGGCCCUGCGGCGGUACGUCACGGCGCGCCGCCACCAUGCCCCGAGCAGAGCCCGCCCACCCGGCGGUACAACCGCGGGUUCGAAUCCCGCGAGCGGCAGCGGAACGAGCUUAAGGAUCCCUCAGCG
rnacentral:lncRNA from 1 species